rnacentral:rRNA from 1 species
GAAGGCAGCAGGCGCGCAAAUUACCCACUCCCGGCACGGGGAGGUAGUGACGAAAAAUAACGAUACGGGACUCAUCCGAGGCCCCGUAAUCGGAAUGAGUACACUCUAAACCCUUUAACGAGGAUCAAUUGGAGGGCAAGUCUGGUGCCAGCAGCCGCGGUAAUUCCAGCUCCAAUAGCGUAUAUUAAAGUUGUUGCGGUUAAAAAGCUCGUAGUCGAAUCUGUGUCCCGCGCCGCCGGUUCAUCGCUCGCGGUGUUUAACUGGCGUGUCCGCGGGACGUCCUGCCGGUGGGCUCAGCCCCGCGAGGGGCGGCCCAACUUCAAAUCCCACCGCGGUGCUCUUCACUGAGUGUCGAGGUGGGCCGGCACGUUUACUUUGAACAAAUUAGAGUGCUUAAAGCAGGCUAAAACUUCGCCUGAAUACUGUGUGCAUGGAAUAAUGGAAUAGGACCUCGGUUCUAUUUUGUUGGUUUUCGGAACCCCGAGGUAAUGAUUAAUAGGAACGGAUGGGGGCAUUCGUAUUGCGACGUUAGAGGUGAAAUUCUUGGAUCGUCGCAAGACGGACAGAAGCGAAAGCAUUUGCCAAAAACGCUUUCAUUGAUCAAGAACGAAAGUUAGAGGUUCGAAGGCGAUCAGAUACCGCCCUAGUUCUAACCAUAAACGAUGCCAGCUAGCGAUCCGCCGACGUUCCUCCGAUGACUCGGCGGGCAGCUUCCGGGAAACCAAAGCUUUUGGGUUCCGGGGGAAGUAUGGUUGCAAAGCUGAAACUUAAAGGAAUUGACGGAAGGGCACCACCAGGAGUGGAGCCUGCGGCUUAAUUUGACUCAACACGGGAAACCUCACCAGGCCCGGACACCGGAAGGAUUGACAGAUUGAGAGCUCUUUCUUGAUUCGGUGGGUGGUGGUGCAUGGCCGUUCUUAGUUGGUGGAGCGAUUUGUCUGGUUAAUUCCGAUAACGAACGAGACUCUAGCCUGCUAACUAGGCGCAUUUACGACAUCUCAAAGGCCCGCCGGUCCGGCGCUCUCGCGUCGCGUCCGCGCGCGGUUUUUACUGUCGGCGUACAAUCAAUUCUUCUUAGAGGGACAGGCGGCUUCUAGCCGCACGAGAUUGAGCAAUAACAGGUCUGUGAUGCCCUUAGAUGUUCUGGGCCGCACGCGCGCUACACUGAAGGAAUCAGCGUGUCCUCCCUGGCCGAGAGGCCCGGGUAACCCGCUGAACCUCCUUCGUGCUAGGGAUUGGGGCUUGCAAUUGUUCCCCAUGAACGAGGAAUUCCCAGUAAGCGCGAGUCAUAAGCUCGCGUUGAUUACGUCCCUGCCCUUUGUACACACCGCCCGUCGCUACUACCGAUUGAAUGAUUUAGUGAGGUCUUCGGACCGGUACGCGGCGGCGCUCACGCGUCGCCGAUGUUGCUGGGAAGAUGACCAAA